rnacentral:lncRNA from 1 species
AAAAAACAAUCCAACUCAAGGAUUGUUUAUUCUCAACCACAUGUCGAGAUCCUGCAUCAUGCAAGUGGCUAGAGAUGAGCAGUCCAAUCGGGGGACUAUCGCUCCCUAGCAUGCACGCCAGGACCUGCAUCGCACGUGCGGCUGAUCUAGUCAGACGCGUAGACUAACAUCUUGACACACCUCCCAAAAAGUAUAUGUGUGCCAUGAUGGGUCCCAAGGACCAACUAUAAUUCUUUUCCAUAAUUUCAUCAUCCUUUUCAUAACGAACCAAGGGAUGGUACAACACAUGGUGUGUAGUCACACAAGUCCC